UACAGAGGGUGCAAACGUUGCUCGGAAUCAUUGGGCGUAAAGCGCACGUAGGCGGCCCAGCAAGUGGGGAGUGAAAGCCCUCGGCUUAACCGAGGAAGUGCUUUCCAAACUACUGGGCUUGAAUACUGGAGAGGGUCGCGGAAUUCCCGGUGUAGAGGUGAAAUUCGUAGAUAUCGGGAGGAACACCGGUGGCGAAGGCGGCAUUCUGGACCACAACUGACACUGAGAGACGAAAGCCAGGGGAGCAAACGGG
rnacentral:rRNA from 1 species